UGGAAGUAAAUGUGGACACAAGGUCUCAGUUGGUGAACCAGCGGAGGUAUCAUUACAGAGCAAAAAAACUCCCCAAAACCCAUGCGAACAUAACAGUCGUCACCUAGGAGGGACCGCCGCGGGCGCCAUCGUGCGCCCAGGACCCAGGCGCCCGCCGGGGGACUCAAUCUUUUUUUUUCACCACAGUCACAUUAUGUGAGUGGGUUAUGCGAAAACAAAAGAAUCAAAAUUCACAACACUCAUAUCUUAGGUUCUCAUCGAUGAAUUACGCAGUUAAAAUGGAUUAAGUAACCUAAAGCAGAAUUCAGUGAAUUAUUGGAUUUUCGGACGCACCUUGGGCCCGCCCGUAAUUCGGCGGGCCGGCCUGUUUGAGGGUCAAUUUAACCCUCCCCGCGGCAUUCGUGUCGGGGGGCUGUUGGGGAUUGAAGACCGCCCAACGGCGGACGUCGUCCCCUAAAGCCAGUGGCAGCCUCGCCGCGGCCUCCUCGCGCAGUAAUUACUUCUCGCGGGCGGAGCCACAGUGACGGAUCGCCGUAAAACCCCCAACUCUUCAAUGGUUGACCUCAGAUCAGGUAGGAAUACCCGCUGAACUUAAGCAUAUCAAUAAGCGGAGG
rnacentral:rRNA from 1 species